rnacentral:misc_RNA from 1 species
ACGAUCGACAUAUCUCGCACCCGCCUUGACGUCCAUCGCGUCCCUGACACCAAGCAGAGGGGAGCUCAAAAUUUGGUUGUAGUUUUGUGUAUAGCUAACUAUAAGCCAGCUGUUUUUAUAUCAAGGGACUAUUCGACCAACCUAAACACAAAGGCAAUGCCACGAAGGGCGCUACGCUGCGUUGUAGAUCUGAAACUGAAGGCCGUGACGGCCCCUGGAGUGUGGCUGCCCAGUAGGGAAGAUGUCUAUGUCAGCAUCAGUCUGUUUGGUCAAUACAGAAACACUUGUCUCGUAGAGUCUGUGUUUCCAUUAAUCAUUCGAGAAGACUUCACUUUUGAAAAGACUUACUAUACUGCUCUGGACCCAGCAGAGGUUGUCGAUUAUUUGGAUGAUGAAUUGAUAGUGUUGGAGCUGCUACAACUAUCCGAGUUUGGAGGAGCUAACAGACUUGCCUCUUAUUCAUCAAGCGCUCGUGACUUCCUCUACCCUGCUCCGUCUUUGGCACCUUGCUAUGCCUCUGGAGCACGGGAAAUACUCUUCCAUAGGUCCAUUGAUUUUCCUGGUAUUUCUCCAAAACUAGAGUUUGUUUCUAUUACCAACAUCAAAGAAUCUCUGUCACCAGAACUGGAUGCUCUAGAAGAUUCAAUUAAAGAUGAGAGGAGAUCUAGAAGGCGUUCUCGUUCACGCAGUAGAUCUCGUCCAGCAAGUCGUCCUUCAUCUCGGGCCUCUAUGAGGUCACCCUCCCCUGCCGCACGCUGGAAGAGCGAUGACAUCCUGGUUCCUCGACUCAGCAGUACCGAGGGAAGACCUCCAUUUGUUGUCCGCCAUCUAGAAAAAUCCCUCAUUGGAAGAAUUCCUGGUGAUGAUGGUGGUGUAAAAGCCAAAAGUAAAAAGAAAGUCAAGCGAGGAAGAUCUCGAUCUCGAACCCGCUCUGUCAGUGCUAUGUCAGAUUCUGGGGGUUACUAUAGUGAUUACACCAGUUAUCCUAGUUUAACACACAAAUACCGCUUAAAGAAGACCUCCUCAUUGGAUGAUGAAGAUCCCCUCCCGAGAGUCUCUCCCAAACAGUUCCUCAGUGACGAUGAUGAUGCUGAGGUGGCAGCACUGACUGGUUCUUUGGAUGAUCUGCGUCUCAGCCGUCGAUCUCGCUCCCCAAGCCCCCUGUUGUAUCGCCCUUCCUUGAGAGAGAGGUAUGGAUUACGCCCCCUUACACCCACAGAAAAACUUGAUCUAGACAUAAGAGUGGAACAAGCUCUACGUCGGAGCCGAUCCAGAGAACGACUAGCACGUCUGGAGCUGGAGGAAUCUCGCAGCAGAUCCAGGGAAAGACGGACAAGACUAGAGUUGGAACGCGCCCGGAGUAGAUCCAGGGAGCGAAUGGCCAGGCUGGAUCUAGAGCUGGCAGAGAAGAGACGAGAACGACUGGCUCGCGAGGAGCUGGAAGAGUCCCUGCGAAGAGCCCGAGCCAGGUACUUGUAUUAUAAAGAGUUGGAAGAUCUUGACUUGGACACAAGGCUUGCCUUGUCCAGGAAAACGUUCCUUUAACCGGCUCAGGUUACUAUCUCCAUUAUGUCCCUCAGUCUCUUCUCUCCAUUGUCCAACUCGGAUCAUUGGGGAAAGAACAAAGUCGACAUAUUGUGUCAUUCUGUAAAGAUACAUGCUGAUGAACUUGACAUACAUAAUUUACAUGGACAGUGUAAAUAUAUGCUCUUCCAAAUCUUUUUCAGCCCAUGUCGAGUGCAUUUGGACGAUGGAACAUAUUGGUCAGAAAGAGCAGCAAAAUUUCAAGGAAAAUCUCAUCGUCAGGUUUUUAAUGAUAGUCUUAGUAAGCUGUACUCCAAGAUGUACCGGAGUGCACUGCAGGCGAAGCCGUGAUAGUCUUACCUCAGUAGUCUGAUCAGCUGUGAUAUUAGAUAGUGUCUGUAUUUAUUAUGUUUUAAGGAUAAAAGCUACAUGACUCCAAACUGUUCCUGUGAUAGAAAACCUUCAUUAUACAAACCAUGGUCCUGUUUAUGUCAGCCAUUUCCAACUGUUCACAGUUAACCUGAAUUAGGAUAUACUCUCAGCUCCUGCAAGUUUUGCCAGUUAACUGUUUUUGUGUCAUGACUUUUAUUCCAGCUUGUUGUGUUUGACAAUACUCUGUAGGGUGGCCAGUUUGAUGUUUGAUUUUGGGGGGAGGUGAAAGUAAAAGCAACAACCAGCAUCUGUUCCUGCGGGAAUGGAAGCUGGUGUUGCCAUGGGGAUUGUUGGUUCCGAUGGUUUAGGAGUUGGCUGUGGGUUACACAGGGUUGACUGUCCUCUCUCUGUCUCUGACUAAUAAAUUAUAUUUAUCAAUUUGUCUCAUUUAGUUAGCACCAGCCUACACAUGAAUGAUUGUAUGGAAUUAAACUUGAUUAUUUUGCUUUUUUAUUUAUAUCUAUAUAAUAUUUUUUUUAUAUUUAUGUCUACUAGAAUACAUUAAUUGCAGCAUUUAAUUAUAAUAAAUACUUAUAUAUUG